CCUACGGGUGGCUGCAGUGGGGAAUAUUGGACAAUGGGCGAAAGCCUGAUCCAGCCAUGCCGCGUGUGUGAAGAAGGCCUUCGGGUUGUAAAGCACUUUCAGUGGGGAAGAAAGCCUUGGGGCUAAUACCCUCGAGGAAGGACAUCACCCACAGAAGAAGCACCGGCUAACUCCGUGCCAGCAGCCGCGGUAAUACGGAGGGUGCGAGCGUUAAUCGGAAUUACUGGGCGUAAAGCGCGCGUAGGCGGUCUGAUAAGCCGGUUGUGAAAGCCCCGGGCUCAACCUGGGAACGGCAUCCGGAACUGGCAGGCUAGAGUGCAGGAGAGGAAGGUAGAAUUCCCGGUGUAGCGGUGAAAUGCGUAGAGAUCGGGAGGAAUACCAGUGGCGAAGGCGGCCUCCUGGACUGACACUGACGCUGAGGUGCGAAAGCGUGGGUAGCAAACAGGAUUAGAUACCCGGGUAGUU
rnacentral:rRNA from 1 species